GCCACAUUCUUAUAUAAGAUAUCCAUUACGGAUGUUGGUGAACGUAUAAAGUAUUUCACUUGCGGUGAGUCUUUUCGAUAUAAAAUAUUUGCUUGGAUUUUGGAGAUAAGAAAUGAAUGUAGAAAUAAUCGGCAUAUCUUGCCUGGUAGCCUUACUAGUGGUCGGAUGUGUACAGGGACAAUCCUGUGACACGCAUUCCAACGGUUGCAGCGACCCUUUCAACAUGGCUUACAAACAACGUUUUAAACCGGCAUGUGAUAAACACGAUGUCUGCUAUUCAUGUGGAUUAGGACGCGGAGUUUCAAGAGCAAGAUGCGACCAAAUCUUCUACAAUAAUAUGAAGCUGUAUUGUUCUGUCCAGCCACGUUCGCAACGCCAGGCUUGCUAUACAAACGCACGUACAUAUUAUAUUGGUGUUAGCACACUUGGAAGCAGUAGCUAUUCAAAUCGUCCACACUAUUGGUGCUCACAAUCGUGGGUUCGGGGAUGUAUAUAAAUCGACUGAGAGAACUGUUAUUCCUAAUGCUUGAUAUCUAAUGUUUUUUACUGGUAUAUACUGAAGUUGCCUGCGCGUAUAAGCAUCGGAUCCAAUCUCAUUACAGCUUAGAAAGGAGGAUAAUAAGUAGGCGAACGGCAACAGGUGUUUACCGUUCGGUGAACUUAUGACUUACGAGGGGUCAACGCGAGCUUUUGGUAUAGAGUCAUUUUACAAGACCCUAAUCCUAUAUCGAAAACAGAUUAUGUCUACCAUGCAAACUGUAGUUUUAAAUCCAGGGAAUUCAAAAGAGCUCCAUAAAAAAACCCGAGCCUUAAACAUACGCAUCGAUCAGAUACGUUUAUUCUGGAAAUUGGGCCGUUAUGUCCAUAUAAUGGAGGUAAUCAAUUAACCGAACGGUAAAGCGGCCGUUUACCUACUUAUAGGCCGAUUUAUUUCGUUAUUAUUGUCCCCUUCUACGUGGUAAUAAUAUUGGAUUGGUUAAGAAUAUUAGAAAUAAAAAUAUUCUCUAAUUA